rnacentral:misc_RNA from 1 species
AAUAGGGGAGAUAUAACCCGCUGUUUGAUAACAAGAGUAUCGUCCACGUCAUAAGGAUCGUGUCGGCAAAAAACUGGUACACUGGAUAAAUGAAAGAUGCUGACCAAAUUUGAAACAAAAAGUGCGAGAGUCAAGGGACUCUCUUUCCACUCAAAGCGGCCAUGGGUUCUUGCCAGUCUUCACAGUGGAAUCAUCCAGUUAUGGGAUUAUCGUAUGUGCACCUUAGUGGAUAAGUUUGAUGAACAUGAGGGUCCAGUUCGAGCUGUGUGCUUCCACCAACAGCAGCCGCUGUUUGUGUCUGGAGGAGAUGAUUAUAAGAUCAAGGUGUGGAAUUAUAAACUGCGUAGAUGCCUCUUUACACUGCUUGGUCACUUGGAUUACAUCCGUACUACAGAGUUCCAUCAGGAAUACCCCUGGAUCCUCUCAGCCUCUGAUGACCAGACCAUACGAAUUUGGAACUGGCAGAGCCGCUCAUGCGUGUCUAUCCUGACAGGACACAAUCACUAUGUGAUGUGUGCCCGUUUCCAUCCAACCCAAGACCUGAUUGUGUCUGCUUCACUGGACUCUUCUGUCCGUGUCUGGGAUAUCUCAGGUAUUCCCGGCAAACCUGGAGGCCUUCGCAAGAAGAAUGUCUCCCCUGGAAUGGGAGGCCUUACGGGGAGUGAUGACCACCACACCAGGAAUCCUGAGCUCUUUAGUGCUGGAGAUGCCACUGUGCGCCACGUGCUGGAGGGCCAUGACCGUGGAGUCAACUGGGCAGCAUUCCAUCCAACUCUUCCUCUGGUUAUUUCUGGAUCUGAUGACAGACAGGUCAAGCUGUGGAGGAUGAAUGAUUCAAAGGCCUGGGAGGUUGACACUUGCCGUGGUCACUACAACAAUGUGUCCUGCGUAAUGUUCCAUCCAAGGCAAGAGUUGAUCUUGUCUAAUUCAGAGGACAAAUCCAUCCGUGUGUGGGACAUGGCCAAGAGAAUCUGCCUCCACACUUUCCGCCGGGAACAUGAUCGCUUUUGGGUCCUAGCGGCCCAUCCAACCCUCAACUUGUUUGCAGCUGGCCAUGACAGUGGCAUGAUCAUUUUCAAGCUUGAGAGAGAGAGACCAGCCUAUGCUCUCUAUGGCAACCUCUUGUAUUAUGUCAAGGAGAGGUUCCUCCGACGACUUGAUUUAACAAAGAAUAAGGAUGUGGCUGUCAUGCAGUUGCGUCCUGGAUCCCGUGCACCUGUAUACAGUAUGUCCUUCAACCCAGCUGAGAAUGCUGUACUCCUUACAACACGUACCCACAAUAUGGACAACAGCAACUAUGACUUGUAUCAAAUCCCUAAGGAAACAGACUCCCAGAACCCAGAUUCUCCUGACUCAAAGAGGUCAGCUGGACUCACAGCUGUUUGGGUUGCAAGAAAUCGCUUUGCGGUAAUGGAUAAGAGUCACCAGGUUGUGAUUAAGAAUAUGCAGAAUGAGGUCAUGAAAAAGGUUGCUACACCUCCUUGUGAUGAGCUCUUCUAUGCUGGAACAGGGAUGCUCCUCCUGCGGGAUAAUGAUGGGGUUUCUCUCUUUGAUGUCCAGCAGAAAAGAGUCCUUGGAACAGCCAGAAUUUCCAAAUGCAGAUAUGUUGUAUGGGCUGCAAACAUGACUAGUGUUGCUCUACUCUCUAAGCAUACUAUUCUCAUCUGCAACCGCAAGUUGGAGAGGCUUUGCUCCAUCACUGAGACUAACAGGGUCAAGUCAGGCUCCUGGGAUGAUAGUGGUGUGUUUGUGUACACCACAAGCAAUCACAUCAAGUAUGCACUUACCAAUGGAGACCAUGGAAUCAUACGUACUCUGGAACUGCCUGUCUAUGUUACCAGGGUGGCAGGCAAUUCAGUUUAUUGCCUUGACCGUCAAGCAACUCCAAGGAUUCUGACCAUCGAUUCAACUGAAUAUAGAUUCAAGCUGGCCUUGGUCCAGCGUAAAUAUGAUGAAGUGCUGCAAAUGGUAAGAGGUGCCAAGCUGGUUGGACAGUCCAUCAUUGCCUACCUGCAGAAGAAGGGUUACCCAGAAGUGGCUCUCCAUUUCGUGAAGGAUGAAAGAACCCGAUUCCUUCUUGCACUUGAGUGUGGCAACAUUGAUGUUGCUCUUGAUGCUGCUAAAGCUCUUGAUGACAAAGGGUGCUGGGAAAAACUGGCUGAACAUGCUCUCCUUCAUGGAAAUCAUCCUGUGGUUGAGUAUUGCUAUCAGCAGACCAAAAACUAUGAUAAGCUGUCAUUCCUGUACUUGAUCACUGGAAACUUGGCUAAGUUGCGCCGCAUGAUGAAGAUCAAUGAAAUUCGCAAGGAUUAUGAGGGUUGGUAUGCCAAUGCACUCUACUUGGGUGAUGUCCCAGAACGCAUAAGGGUUCUUAAAGCAUGUGGCAAAACAUCUUUAGCUCUGCUGACAGCAGUCACACAUGGCUAUGCACAGGAAGCAGAGUCUCUGGCUGCCCAUGUUGAGAAUGGAGCUAUUCCAGAACCUCUUCCAAGUGCUCAGCUGUUACAACCAGCACCUCCUGUGCAGCCUAUGGACACAGCUUGGCCUCUCUUGACUGUUGCAAAGGGCUUCUUUGAUACUGCUGUUGCUGGAGGCAAAGCAGCUGGAGGAGCUGCAGCAGCUGCCAUGGUGGUAGAUGAUGCUGGGGACAUUGCUGGUGAUGGAUGGGGAGAUGAUGAUGAUGAGAAUGUUGAAGAUGCUGAUUUGGCUGUAGAAGGUGGAGAUGCUGAAGGAGGUGGAUGGGAGGUGGAUGAUGACCUGGACCUGCCACCAGAACUUGAGGGAUCUGUUUCAGCUGGCACUGGUGGAUCUGGUGAGGAUGGCUUCUUCAUCCCUCCACCCCGUGGACACCCACCAACCCAUGGGUGGACACAGCGAAGUCAGUUGGCAAUUGAUCAUGUCUUGGCUGGAGCUUUUGAGUCGGCUACUCGAUUACUUCAUGAUCAGGUGGGAGUUGUGAACUUCGAACCAUACCGGCAGCUGUUCCUCUCAUCUUAUGCCCAUUCCCGCUCAAGCUACACUGGUGCUCCUGCGAUGCCAUCUCUCUUUGCAUACCCAGCUCGUAAUUGGCGAACUGCACAAAACAAGGAUCAAUUACCUGCUCUGGGAUUAAAGCUUUCAAAUCUAAUGGAUAGACUUAAGGAAGCAUCUCAGUUGACAACAGCAGCCAAAUUUUCAGAGGCUCUGGAUAAACUGCGCUGGAUUCUACUUGCUGUUCCUCUCAUUGUUGUGGAUACAAAACAAGAGAUUACAGAAGCACAGAAUCUGCUAAGAGUGUGCAAGGAGUACGUUGUUGGUAUCAGCAUGGAGUUGUAUCGAAAAGGUUUGGGUAAGAGUAGUCCAGAAGAACAACAGCGCUCCCUUGAAUUGGCUGCGUACUUCACACAUUGUGAACUACAACCUGGACACCAGAUUCUGACACUGAGAACUGCAGUGAAUUUGGCCUUUAAGAUGAAGAAUUACAAGAUGGCCAUGAGCUUUGGUCGUCGUCUAUUAAAUCUUGGACCCAGACCAGAAGUGGCUCAGAAUAUAAGGAAGGUUGUUCAGGCAUGCGAGAAGAACCCAGUUGAUGAGAUGUCGAUUCAAUAUGAUGAGCAUAACCCAUUCACUGUAUGUGCAAGUUCAUAUGUACCCAUUUACCGUGGAAAGCCGGAAGUUCAAUGUCCAUUGUGUAGUGCAUCAUAUCUGCCAGAGCACAAGGGCAUUACUUGCAAAAUUUGUGAUGUUGCACAAGUUGGCAAGGAUUCCAUUGGGCUUCGCAUAUCACCACUACAGUUCCGGUAAACAAUCACAGAACAAAUGUAAGGUUCUGGCUUGCUGGAUCUACAGUCCCCUGUUGUAGAAUGUUGAAAGGACCAAUUGCGUGGUGUUAUGUAGAAGUUGAAUUAUGUAUCUUGUAGAAAUUUUAAGGAAUUGGUUUACGUUUUCUUCAUUUAAUUACUUUCCAUAAGAUAAGCCAUAUUCCAGGUAAUAUAUUGUCAGUUUUAAUAAAAGGAUAUAUAAAUUUCAUA